GAUGAACGCCGGCGGUGUGCCUAAUACAUGCAAGUCGAGCGCACUGGCCCAACUGAUAUGACGUGCUUGCACUGAAUUGACGUUGGAUUCCCAGUGAGCGGCGGACGGGUGAGUAACACGUGGGCAACCUGCCCUGAAGCGGGGGAUAACAUCUGGAAACAGGUGCUAAUACCGCAUAACAACGAAAACCGCAUGGUUUUCGUUUCAAAGAUGGUUUCGGCUAUCACUUCAGGAUGGGCCCGCGGUGCAUUAGCUAGUUGGUAAGGUAACGGCUUACCAAGGCGAUGAUGCAUAGCCGAGUUGAGAGACUGAUCGGCCACAAUGGAACUGAGACACGGUCCCUACUCCUACGGGAGGCAGCAGUAGGGAAUCUUCCACAAUGGGCGCAAGCCUGAUGGAGCAACACCGCGUGAGUGAAGAAGGGUUUCGGCUCGUAAAGCUCUGUUGUUGGAGAAGAACGUGCGUGAGAGUAACUGUUCACGCAGUGACGGUAUCCAACCAGAAAGUCACGGCUAACUACGUGCCAGCAGCCGCGGUAAUACGUAGGUGGCAAGCGUUAUCCGGAUUUAUUGGGCGUAAAGCGAGCGCAGGCGGUUGUUUAGGUCUGAUGUGAAAGCCUUCGGCUUAACCGAAGAAGUGCAUCGGAAACCGGGCGACUUGAGUGCAGAAGAGGACAGUGGAACUCCAUGUGUAGCGGUGGAAUGCGUAGAUAUAUGGAAGAACACCAGUGGCGAAGGCGGCUGUCUGGUCCGCAACUGACGCUGAGGCUCGAAAGCAUGGGUAGCGAACAGG
rnacentral:rRNA from 1 species